UGGCUUCUCCCUGUGACCGCCACCAAACUUCUAGAACCCCUGCAAUAUGUGCUUCUGAUUUUUUUGUCAAGAUACAUAGAAGCGGCAGGUUUUUCGAUAGGAGAACGAUGUUCCUAGUAGUAUAAUUAAUAACACUGAUUUCAAGGAGAGCAUAUAAGAAAGAUCGCGUCAAAAUAAGCAAGAUAUUUAUUAACGCUUCAAGGAGCUCACCGUAAAUGUAGUAAGUGCUUACUUGAGGCGUUCGUUUGCCGCAAUUAGAUGGAUGAUACUUCACGAAGUGGAACUCUGAAACAUAAUUCUGUUAACGAACGAAUGUCCUGCGUGUUAACUACUAUGUCUGCCAGGAGCGUGUAUAGACAAGUACCGAUCUUUGACCCGCUGUAGUGGGGUUUAACACAAGAAGUUAAAAAAGUCUUUGCCUUUACUUGUAUCCUACUUUUAUGCUGACUUUGCAUUAUUGCUUUUAAGUGACGGAAGUGCACAUCGUCCAACGAACUUGAAGUGCCUUUCUAACUUUCUAGAUAAUAUCUGCAUUAAGAGCUUGCUUUGCCGCUACCAAGAACUCGACACAAUCCUCUGUAUUUACCGUAAGAAUGCUUCUGAGAAGGACCUCUCUCCAUUGUUACUCAACGGCGGACUAUCGACGAAACAGUAUCACAGUCAAGAAGCACAGUGGUCAGUGUCGCUUCGGCAGGCUUCAUACUUAAAUGAACAAGGAAAACUACGUUAGUGAUGGUUAAACCUUCUUUAAUCGUUGGAUGUUUGGCAAGCCGGUUCAAGUUUCCGAAGCAGGAAUGAAAAGCUGAGCAUUACAGAGCUCCAACGUUGUACAGGGUUCGUGAGAGAAAAACGGUGUAAGCCUAGAGACCCCCCGCCAGGAUGAUGUCCGUAGAGGUCGGAUUUGAAUUUUGGUUGAUUCGAU